rnacentral:rRNA from 1 species
AUUGAACGCUGGCGGCAGGCCUAACACAUGCAAGUCGAGCGGAUGACGGGAGCUUGCUCCUUGAUUCAGCGGCGGACGGGUGAGUAAUGCCUAGGAAUCUGCCUGGUAGUGGGGGACAACGUUUCGACAGGAACGCUAAUACCGCAUACGUCCUACGGGAGAAAGCAGGGGACCUUCGGGCCUUGCGCUAUCAGAUGAGCCUAGGUCGGAAUAGCUAGUUGGUGGGGUAAUGGAUCACGAAGGCGACGAUCCGUAACUGGUCUGAGAGGAUGAUCAGUCACACUGGAACUGAGACACGGUCCAGACUCCUACGGGAGGCAGCAGUGGGGAAUAUUGGACAAUGGGCGAAAGCCUGAUCCAGCCAUGCCGCGUGUGUGAAGAAGGUCUUCGGAUUGUAAAGCACUUUAAGUUGGGAGGAAGGGCAGUAAGCUAAUACCUUGCUGUUUUGACGUUACCGACAGAAUAAGCACCGGCUAACUCUGUGCCAGCAGCCGCCGCGGUAA